GAUCAUGGCUCAAGAUGAACGCUAGCUACAGGCUUAACACAUGCAAGUCGAGGGGAAACGAUAUUGGAAGCUUGCUUCCGAUAGGCGUCGACCGGCGCGCGGGUGAGUAACGCGUAUCCAACCUGCCCACCACUUGGGGAUAACCUUGCGAAAGUAAGACUAAUACCCAAUGAUAUCUCUAGAAGACAUCUGAAAGAGAUUAAAGAUUCAUCGGUGAUGGAUGGGGAUGCGU
rnacentral:rRNA from 1 species